GUGCCAGCCGCCGCGGUAAUACGAAGGGGGCUAGCGUUGUUCGGAAUUACUGGGCGUAAAGCGCACGUAGGCGGAUAUUUAAGUCAGGGGUGAAAUCCCAGAGCUCAACUCUGGAACUGCCUUUGAUACUGGGUAUCUUGAGUAUGGAAGAGGUAAGUGGAAUUGCGAGUGUAGAGGUGAAAUUCGUAGAUAUUCGCAGGAACACCAGUGGCGAAGGCGGCUUACUGGUCCAUAACUGACGCUGAGGUGCGAAAGCGUGGGGAGCAAACAGGAUUAGAUACCCCAGUAGUCC
rnacentral:rRNA from 1 species